CAACUGGGGUUGGUUUUACCUGUUCAUUUCUGGAGACUUUGUACCUUUUCCUGGAAUUAUAAGUAAUACAUAUAUAAUAAUUGUCAAUCCCUUAAAGCUUGGAACUUGGAAAAGGAGUAUCAAAUUAAUAAGCUGUUUUCCCUCUCUUUAGAGACCCAUUAUUGAGGUCUUGAAAGUGGUUUAAACAGCAUCCAUCUUCUUUACAAGUCUAAGUACCAAAAAAAUGGUGAUGGAUUUCAAAGAAUUCUUCACUGAAUAUGGUGAAGCCCAUCAAUAUGAAAUCCAAGAGGUUGUUGGAAAGGGAAGCUAUGGCGUUGUUGCAGCAGCAAUUGAUACUCAUACCGGAGAAAAGGUAGCAAUAAAGAAGAUUAAUGAUGUUUUUGAGCAUGCUUCGGAAGCCACCCGCAUCCUUAGAGAAAUAAAGCUACUUCGGUUGCUUCGGCAUCCAGAUAUUGUAGAAAUAAAGCAUAUAUUGUUGCCUCCAUGUCCGAGGGAAUUCAAGGAUAUAUAUGUUGUCUUUGAGUUGAUGGAAUGUGACCUUCAACAUGUAAUUAAAGCAAAUGACAGUCUCACUCCUGAACAUUAUCAAUUCUUUAUGUAUCAGCUUCUUCGAGGUUUAAAGUAUAUGCAUACAGCAAACGUGUUCCAUCGAGAUUUGAAGCCAAAGAACAUUCUAGCAAAUGCAGAUUGCAAGCUGAAAAUUUGUGAUUUUGGGCUUGCUCGGGUAUCACUUGGCGAUACCCCAUCUGCUGUUUUCUGGACUGACUACGUGGCAACUCGUUGGUAUCGUGCUCCAGAACUUUGUGGUUCCUUUUUCUCCAAAUACACCCCAGCAGUUGAUAUCUGGAGUCUAGGAUGUAUAUUUGCAGAAAUGCUUACAGGAAAACCAUUAUUUCCGGGAAAGAAUGCGGUUCACCAAUUGGAUGUCAUAACUGAUUUGCUUGGUUCGCCGUCGACUGAAGCCAUUUCAAGGAUUAAAAAUGAAAAGGCAAGGAGAUAUUUAAGCAGCAUGAAGAGGAAGGCACCUAUUUCUCUGUCAGAGAAAUUCCCGCACAUUGAUCCACUAGCUCUAAGGUUACUUGAGCGUUUGAUUGCAUUCGAUCCCAAAGAUCGCCCUUCUGCUGAAGAGGCGCUAGCACAUCCAUAUUUCCGUGGUUUGGCAAACAAGGAACAGGAACCAUCAUCGCAGACUAUUUCAAAAUUUGAAUUCGACUUUGAUCGAAGAAAACUUGGAAAAGAGGAUAUUAGAGAGCUCAUCUACCGGGAGGUAUGUGCCUUAACAACCAAUCUCAUCCUCUCUUGACCUUCAUUUUGCACUUUGUUCUACUACUUACACUAAUUGAAAAACUACAUUUUUAGUGGGGUUGAUUGCUUCAAACAACAAUUUGACCAUCUCGAGGGACACAGUGGUAGAGGUGGAAGUAUUCUCUUUCCAAGACGAUAUGCCUCCUUGCCCAGAGAACGAGUUUGUGCUUCGAUAGAUGAGGAAACCGAUAAGAAUGGUGAUUUUGAAAGGCAAGUUGUAGCUGCUGUGGCUCAUAGAUGCCUUCCAAGCCCCCCGAGCUCCCCUAGGGUCAAGAAAUUGGAUGCUGCUAAUACAUUCGAAGGUCAAACUGAGACUAGCCAUUGUGCACCAAUGAAAUUGGACACUGCUAAUACAGUCGAAGGUCAUAGGGAGACUGGCCAUUGUACACCAAAGACUACCGAACGUUGCAUGCUUAGAAGUUCUAGUAUUAGUUUUUCCAAAUGUGUUGGGGCCAUAUGGGAUUGCGAGGAUACAACCUGCAAGCCAUAUCAAAAUGGGAUUAGUAGAUCAUCGAACAAGCCAGCAGCUUUGUAUGCUUGAAUAUUUUAAUUCUGGAUGGACAAGUUUUUGCUAUAUUUUCUGGUAAGUGACACUGAUUGUAAUGCAAUUGCGUAUGUACUCCUUUAGAAUCAUGGUUGGUUGUAAUGUGAACGGUAAACAGUUUAGCUAUAACAUGGUUACUACAUAAUUUGUUCGAUCCCAUUUGUUUUC